UAAUCCCAGCUACUCGGGAGGCUGAGGCAGGAGAAUCGCUUGAACCAGAGAGUCGGAGGUUGCAAUGAGCCAAGAUCGUGCCAAUGCACUCCAACCUGGUGACAGAGUGGGACUCCGUCACGAAAGAGAGAGAUCCCAGAACAGAAUCCUAGUGGACCUUGAUUUACGUCCUCAUAUGGACGGAGAGGAGAGGAGGGUAAAGUUGGUCUCGCUCUUCCUUUCCAUGAGAGCAUGUGCUGGAUAGAAGAAAGUUGCCAGCGGUUUAAGAAUUUUUAAAAUGCAAGAAACACUCCAUAGAACGGACUCGAAUCAGCCAACUCCAGACUUGAAGCAAGCACACCACCCGACUGAGACACACGGACAGUCAACCCUCGCUCCCACAUCACCAUGCAGAGCAAGCGCCUAUCCAACGCUAGGCGGGGCCGCCGCCUUCUGUAGAACAAUUGUGCAGGCUCCAAAGCCUCGGAAAACAGGAGAGACACAUCUUGCCGGCUACGGUGGAAACCCGUGCACUGGGUGAUUCCGAAGCUAGAGGGGCAGCCGAAUGGCCUUCGCCCCGUCCUGCCCCUCGCCCACUGCAGGGCCCCCUCUGCGGUGGCUUUCGCGCUACGGGGCGGCUGGGUUCGCGCACUCUCCUCACCUGCCUUGGCUCAACGCCCACGCGGAUAUCUCUGCCAGAGACUCUUCCCGCCCUCCUAGGCAUCUUGAGUAUGUUUCCUUGGUGUUCUCACUGAAGCUCACGAACAGACAGACGUGAGCUCUCUGUCUUUUACACGCUGAAUUUGACUAUAGCAAAAAAGCCCUGAACAAGACCUUGGGUCUCCUUCGGGACUCCCCAACACCCGCCUGCAACCGCGGCUCUUGGCUGGCGGGCAGGCAGCGUCCACCGAGAGCGUGGAACAGCCGCCGCCGCAGCCCCCGCAGGCUGGCGGGCAGACACUAGCAGGAGAAGGGACACCAGGCCUGCGUGGUAGGAAAGCAUGGGAGACGUCGCUUUCCCAACGGGCAAGAAGGUCUCCCUACAGUCUUUGAGGACAAGAUGGACGGAGGCACCCCUUGCAGGAACAAGGCGGCUGCUGCUGAGGCCUGGCUCCGCACCGAAGCUCCUGGGUCCCGCGGGCCCUCUCCCUACCCGCUGUAGCCAGAGCUGCUUAACGCAUCUCAGCUGGCUUCCUCUUCCGCCUCUGCCUCCUCUUUCUCCCCAGCGGUCCUUGGGACAGCAAGGCCCCCAGCCCGUGGGAAAGACCUAGCCUCCUCUCCAGCACUUGCAGAGGGGGUUGGAUGCAAGUCUCUUAACUCCAGGAGGACAGAGACCCUGAGGCGGGAGGGGACCGCUUCCCUUGCUGCUUCUCUUGGCACAGCCGGUCCGGGGGCUGGCUCAGGGCCCAGGACUCCUCGCUCCUCCUGGAGGGCCUGGGUCGCGUGGCCCGGGAGCUGGUCACGUGGGCAUUUCCCGCACUGCUCCUCAGGGAACGGGAGGCAACAUCCUGCAGGGCCCACUCUUACCCGUGAGAGACAGUUGGGAAAUGCUCCUGAAGAAUGCGGAGCUCUGCGCUCUUGACCACUUAGGAGUGAAGCUUCCGUCCGCCCAUCCUUCCUCCGGAGGGUCUUGGGGAGAAGAGAAAUGCUCGAGGACGAUGCGCUUUGCAGCGUCUCAACCGAGACCACAGGAAAGCAGGGCCGUCUUCCUGGAAGAAGGCAGCGGGAGGCCUGCGGUCGCAGGGAGGCUUGCGGAGCAGGAGCGCCCUCUCUCCGCCGAGCUAUUCCACGCCUUCCAGCAUCCCACCUGGAGGACUCCUCUUCCUCUCUCUUCUCCUAGUGCGGGUCUUCUAUCCUGGUGUUCCUUGAAUGCCUAUCUUCCUUUUGUGCCUCGGAACCUCUCACGCCCGCCACAAGUUACUCUUUUCCUUGGUUGUUCUGAACUUUAAAUAAGGUCAUGCAGGUAAGAGUGCCACAAAUGCUCAAUAAUUGUCAUCUGUGAUUAUUUUCAUCAGUAACAUCUGAAUCAUCAGUGUUGUCUACUUUUAACAGCUGCGUUUUUCGUUGUCCGAAUAUAGUCACAUACAUUUGAACAUUUUAUAAUUAUUGAAUAAUAAAUUCAUUCUGCUAUUUUACAAUAAAAAUAAUGCUGCAGAGAGCAUUCUUACACACAUAUCUUGGCAGAUGUAGGCCAGGGGCUCUUCUUUUAUGAAUCCUGUGGCCAACCUAUCAAUGUAUACACCUUUAAUGAGAUUUUGCCAGCAAUCAAAGCCUUCAGGGAAAAUGUCCCUAGUCUUUACUACUUUGGAUCAAGGACUCUGGACAAUUGGAACAAAGUCCUGGAAUAGCUGAAACAGAGACAUUAUUCUCUGCUCUCCUCUGUUGUCUUUGUUUUUUCACAAUGUCUUAAUAAAAGUGCUGGCGACAAGAGUGUAA